UGGCGGCGCGCCUAACACAUGCAAGUCGAACGAGCGAGAGAGAGCUUGCUUUCUCGAGCGAGUGGCGAACGGGUGAGUAACGCGUGAGGAACCUGCCUCAAAGAGGGGGACAACAGUUGGAAACGACUGCUAAUACCGCAUAAGCCCACGGCUCGGCAUCGAGCAGAGGGAAAAGGAGCAAUCCGCUUUGAGAUGGCCUCGCGUCCGAUUAGCUAGUUGGUGAGGUAACGGCCCACCAAGGCAACGAUCGGUAGCCGGACUGAGAGGUUGAACGGCCACAUUGGGACUGAGACACGGCCCAGACUCCUACGGGAGGCAGCAGUGGGGAAUAUUGCACAAUGGGGGUAACCCUGAUGCAGCGGCGCCGCGUGGAGGAAGAAGGUCUUCGGAUUGUAAACUCCUGUUGUUGGGGAAGAUAAUGACGGUACCCAACAAGGAAGUGACGGCUAACUACGUGCCAGCAGCCGCGGUAAAACGUAGGUCACAAGCGUUGUCCGGAAUUACUGGGUGUAAAGGGAGCGCAGGCGGGAAGACAAGUUGGAAGUGAAAUCUAUGGGCUCAACCCAUAAGCUGCUUUCAAAACUGUUUUUCUUGAGUAGUGCAGAGGUAGGCGGAAUUCCCGGUGUAGCGGUGGAAUGCGUAGAUAUCGGGAGGAACACCAGUGGCGAAGGCGGCCUACUGGGCACCAACUGACGCUGAGGCUCGAAAGUGUGGGUAGCAAACAGGAUUAGAUACCCUGGUAGUCCACACCGUAAACGAUGAUUACUAGGUGUUGGAGGAUUGACCCCUUCAGUGCCGCAGUUAACACAAUAAGUAAUCCACUUGGGGAGUACGACCGCAAGGUUGAAACUCAAAGGAAUUGACGGGGGCCCGCACAAGCAGUGGAGUAUGUGGUUUAAUUCGACGCAACGCGAAGAACCUUACCAAGUCUUGACAUCCCUUGACAGGCAUAGAAAUAUGUAAUCUUUUCGGAGCAAGGAGACAGGUGGUGCAUGGUUGUCGUCAGCUCGUGUCGUGAGAUGUUGGGUUAAGUCCCGCAACGAGCGCAACCCUUAUGGUCAGUUACUACGCAAGAGGACUCUGGCCAGACUGCCGUUGACGAAACGGAGGAAGGUGGGGAUGACGUCAAAUCAUCAUGCCCUUUAUGACUUGGGCUACACACGUACUACAAUGGCGUUAAACAAAGAGAAGCAAGACCGCGAGGUGGAGCAAAACUCAGAAACAACGUCCCAGUUCGGACUGCAGGCUGCAACUCGCCUGCACGAAGUCGGAAUUGCUAGUAAUCGUGGAUCAGCAUGCCACGGUGAAUACGUUCCCGGGCCUUGCACUCAAGGCCCGUC
rnacentral:rRNA from 1 species